AACGUAGGACGCAAGCGUUAUCCGGAGUUACUGGGCGUAAAGCGCGGGCAGGCGGCUCGAAACGUCUGAUGUGAAAUCUCCUCGCUCAACGGGGAGAGGCCAUUGGAAACGGUCGAGCUGGGAGGGCAGUAGAGGUAGGCGGAAUUCCGGGUGGAGUGGUGAAAUGCGUAGAGAUCCGGAAGAACACCGGAGGCGAAGGCGGCUUGCUGGGCUUGGUCUGACGCUGAGGCGCGAAAGCGUGGGGAGCGAACAGG
rnacentral:rRNA from 1 species